rnacentral:snoRNA from 1 species
AUAGGAAGGAAGCAUGGUAGUGUGCACGGAGAUUCAUCGGUCCGCAUGUCUGCUUGCAGUGACGCUUACGGGCUUUGAUCUCGCGGGCCUGGAUUUGACCCACAUUU